rnacentral:lncRNA from 1 species
UCCAAUUCUAUUCUACCAUGCAUAUAAUUACAUAUGAUGAUAUGUAUAUAUUAAAGACAGCACAACUUUUCUUUCUCAUCAAAACUUUCCCUCAUCAGCUAGUGUCUCUCAAAGUAAAAGGUUUUUCCAAAAUGAAAACUUUGCUGCAUUACUUGUUCCUCCUCUGCUUCAAUAUCCUCCUCCCUGCAGUUCACAACCAGUGUAUUAAAAACCAGCAACAAUCGUUGCUCUAUUUGAAGAAAAGCCUUCAAUUUGAUCUACCUUCCCGGCUCAUGUCUUGGAAUUCAAGCACCGACUGUUGUUCUUGGGGUGGUGUUACUUGCACUAGCAAUGGGCACGUUGUUG